UACGUAGGGUGCAAGCGUUGUCCGGAAUUAUUGGGCGUAAAGAGCUCGUAGGCGGUUUGUCGCGUCUGCUGUGAAAACUGGAGGCUCAACCUCCAGCCUGCAGUGGGUACGGGCAGACUAGAGUGCGGUAGGGGAGAUUGGAAUUCCUGGUGUAGCGGUGGAAUGCGCAGAUAUCAGGAGGAAUACCGAUGGCGAAGGCAGGUCUCUGGGCUGACACUGGCGCUCAUGCACGAAAGCGUGGGGAGCAAACAGG
rnacentral:rRNA from 1 species